AUACGGAGGAUCCGAGCGUUAUCCGGAUUUAUUGGGUUUAAAGGGUGCGUAGGCGGAUGAUUAAGCGUGAGGUGAAAUGCCACUGCUCAACAGUGGAACUGCCUCGCGAACUGGUUGUCUUGAAUGCUCCUGCCGUGGGAGGAAUGUGUGGUGUAGCGGUGAAAUGCAUAGAGAUCACACAGAACACCGAUUGCGAAGGCAUCUCACGAAGGGGUGAUUGACGCUGAGGCACGAAAGCGUGGGGAUCAAACAGGAUUAGAUACCCUGGUAGUCCACGCAGUAAACGAUGAUAACUAACCGCUGGGUCGUAGUGAUUCAGUGGCCAAGCGAAAGCGAUAAGUUAUCCACCUGGGGAGUACGACCGCAAGGUUGAAACUCAAAUGAAUUGACGGGG
rnacentral:rRNA from 1 species